ACAGGAUCAACAAUAACCAGAUUUUCCAUAUAAACCUAUUACUGGGGCACUUAUCAAGAUGGGAGCAGGAUUAUUUUGAUGAAGAGUGUCUGCUAGAGCAGUGCUUUCCAAAUGAUAAGUCAGCGAGAUCCAGAAGCGUCUGUGGACAGGACUCCGGGGAUGGACGCAGACCACAGACGAUUAAUCUCUGACGUCCGGAAGACAUGUGGAACAGCCGGGUGACAGAUGUCGUUCGGAAGGCGAAUGCUGCUUCGCCGUAUGACAUGCCAGCGCACAAUGGCCACUGCGAGGACGCCGAGCAUAAGCAGGGGCGGGUCUGCUGUCUCGCAGGGUCCGGUCGCAGGCACGUGACUCGGACCAUCUGAUCAGUUCCCGCUGCUCUGUGGCUUUAAUAUUGGCUUACGGGGGAAACAACAGACAGAUAUCUGGAAAUGAAGACGUCGGCCGGUUGGCAGGGCGGCCUCCCGCGUUGCCAGCCAAUCCCGUAACAGCGCUGUUUACUUAAUCUCCUGCAAUAUAAUUAACAAAAUAUCAUAAAGAAUCAUGCAGAAGGACGGCGCUGACAAUGGAGAGUCUCAUUUUCAAUAGAUGGCA